GCUCCAUCACCCCAGCUAUGGAACGAACGCUCCGUUACCCUUGGUCUAGAAUUUCAGGAAAUUUAAUGUAUGUUUGUUGUAGAUGAUGGGAAUGUUGGGAAACACGCACUUUACAUUUCUUCAUGGAAUACAAUGUGUCCAGUUAUGGACUAUUGUACGAUAACCAGGAGUCCAUAUAAACGAUGUCCCUGUAACUGUGGGACAUUGACUAGGUGUAAGUGUAGGACCUCAUCUUCCUCAGAAAUCACUGUACUGCUAUUUGUAUAUUUUCUCAG